GAUGAACGCUGGCGGCGUGCCUAAUACAUGCAAGUCGAGCGAACAGACGAGGAGCUUGCUCCUCUGACGUUAGCGGCGGACGGGUGAGUAACACGUGGAUAACCUACCUAUAAGACUGGGAUAACUUCGGGAAACCGGAGCUAAUACCGGAUAACAUGUUGAACCGCAUGGUUCAACAGUGAAAGACGGUCUUGCUGUCACUUAUAGAUGGAUCCGCGCCGCAUUAGCUAGUUGGUAAGGUAACGGCUUACCAAGGCAACGAUGCGUAGCCGACCCGAGAGGGUGAUCGGCCACACUGGAACUGAGACACGGUCCAGACUCCUACGGGAGGCAGCAGUAGGGAAUCUUCCGCAAUGGGCUAAAGCCUGACGGAGCAACGCCGCGUGAGUGAAGAAGGUCUUCGGAUCGUAAAACUCUGUUAUUAGGGAAGAACAAAUGUGUAAGUAACUAUGCACGUCUUGACGGUACCUAAUCAGAAAGCCACGGCUAACUACGUG
rnacentral:rRNA from 1 species